UCCCUGGGCAGGGUGGGCCGGGACUUUUUUCGACUCCUGCUCGGGACGGUCGAUGACGGUUCCGUUCCUGUCCGGGAAU
rnacentral:tRNA from 1 species